UGCGCAAGACAAAGUGGCAACACUUAGAGAGUACUGGGUGUUGAACGUUACUUAGUGGCGAACGGGUGAGUAACGCGUAGACAACCUGCCUUCUAGAUGGGGACAACGUUCCGAAAGGGACGCUAAUACCGAAUGUUGUAAUUUGGACACAUGUUCGAAUUACUAAAGGUGGCCUCUUUAAAUGCUACCGCUAGAAGAUGGGUCUGCGUCUGAUUAGCUAGUUGGUGAGGUAAAGGCUCACCAGGCGACGAUCAGUAGCCGGUCUGAGAGGAUGAACGGCCACACUGGGACUGAGACACGGCCCAGACUCCUACGGGAGGCAGCAGUGGGGAAUCUUCCGCAAUGGACGAAAGUCUGACGGAGCAACGCCGCGUGAGUGAAGAAGGUUUUCGGAUCGUAAAGCUCUGUCUUCAGGGACGAAUGUGCUCUUUGUGAAUAAUGGAGAGUAAUGACGGUACCUGAGGAGGAAGCCACGGGCUAACUAACGUGCCAGCAGCCGCGGUAAUACGUAGGUGGCAAGCGUUGUCCGGAAUUAUUGGGCGUAAAGCGCGCGCAGGCGGGAAUACAAGUCUAUCUUAAAAGUGCGGAGCUCAACUGCGUGAGGGGAUGGAAACUGUAUUUCUUGAGUGACGGAGAGGAAAGUGGAAUUCCCAGUGUAGCGGUGAAAUGCGUAGAGAUUGGGAGGAACACCAGUGGCGAAGGCGGCUUUCUGGACGUUGUCUGACGCUGAGGCGCGAAAGCCAGGGAAGUGAACGGGAUUAGACACCCCGGUAAUCCUGGCCGUAAACGAUGGGUACUAGGUGUAGGGGGUAUCGACCCCCCCUGUGCCGGAGUUAACGCAAUAAGUACCCCGCCUGGGGAGUACGGCCGCAAGGUUGAAACUCAAAGGAAUUGACGGGGGCCCGCACAAGCGGUGGAGUAUGUGGUUUAAUUCGACGCAACGCGAAGAACCUUACCAGGACUUGACAUCGAUAGAAAGUUUAAGAGAUUAGACUGUGCCCUUCGGGGAACUAGAAGACAGGUGGUGCAUGGCU
rnacentral:rRNA from 1 species